rnacentral:rRNA from 1 species
GAUGAACGCUGGCGGCGUGCCUAAUACAUGCAAGUCGAGCGAACAGAUAAGGAGCUUGCUCCUUUGAAGUUAGCGGCGGACGGGUGAGUAACACGUGGGUAACCUACCUAUAAGACUGGGAUAACUUCGGGAAACCGGAGCUAAUACCGGAUAACAUUUAGAACCGCAUGGUUCUAAAGUGAAAGAUGGUUUUGCUAUCACUUAUAGAUGGACCCGCGCCGUAUUAGCUAGUUGGUAAGGUAACGGCUUACCAAGGCGACGAUACGUAGCCGACCUGAGAGGGUGAUCGGCCACACUGGAACUGAGACACGGUCCAGACUCCUACGGGAGGCAGCAGUAGGGAAUCUUCCGCAAUGGGCGAAAGCCUGACGGAGCAACGCCGCGUGAGUGAUGAAGGGUUUCGGCUCGUAAAACUCUGUUAUUAGGGAAGAACAAAUGUGUAAGUAACUGUGCACAUCUUGACGGUACCUAAUCAGAAAGCCACGGCUAACUACGUGCCAGCAGCCGCGGGUAUACGUAGGUGGCAAGCGUUAUCCGGAAUUAUUGGGCGUAAACCGCGCGUAGGCGGUUUCUUAAGUCUGAUGUGAAAGCCCACGGCUCCCCUUUUGGAGGGUCUUUGGAAACUGGGAAACUUGAGUGCAAAAAAGGAAAGGGGAAUUCCUUGUGUAGCGGUGAAAUGCCCAAAUAUUUGGAGGAACACCCGUGGCGAAGGCGACUUUCUGGUCUGUAACUGACGCUGAUGUGCAAAAGCGUGGGGAUCAAACAGGAUUAAAUCCCCUGGUAGUCCCCCCCCAAAACAAUAAUUGCUAGUUGUGGGGGGGUUUCCCCCCCUUGGGGGGGCAACAAACUUAUAAAAUCCCCCCCCGGGGGGGUAUGCCCGCGAGGUUAAUAUCUCAAAGGGAUUGGGGGGGCCCCCCCCCAGGGGGGGAGCGGUGGGUUUUUUUGUAACCCCCGCAAACAAUCCCACCCCAUCUUUGCCAUCUUUUGACAACUCUAGAGAUAGAGCCUUCCCCUUCGGGGGACAAAGUGACAGGUGGUGCAUGGUUGUCGUCAGCUCGUGUCGUGAGAUGUUGGGUUAAGUCCCGCAACGAGCGCAACCCUUAAGCUUAGUUGCCAUCAUUAAGUUGGGCACUCUAGGUUGACUGCCGGUGACAAACCGGAGGAAGGUGGGGAUGACGUCAAAUCAUCAUGCCCCUUAUGAUUUGGGCUACACACGUGCUACAAUGGACAAUACAAAGGGCAGCUAAACCGCGAGGUCAUGCAAAUCCCAUAAAGUUGUUCUCAGUUCGGAUUGUAGUCUGCAACUCGACUACAUGAAGCUGGAAUCGCUAGUAAUCGCAGAUCAGCAUGCUACGGUGAAUACGUUCCCGGGUCU